UACGUAGGGCGCAAGCGUAUCCGGAAUUAUUGGGCGUAAAGAGCUCGUAGGCGGUCUGUCACGUCGGCUGUGAAAACCCGAGGCUCAACCUCGGGCCUGCAGUCGAUACGGGCAAACUAGAGUACUGCAGGGGAGACUGGAAUUCCUGGUGUAGCGGUGAAAUGCGCAGAUAUCAGGAGGAACACCGGUGGCGAAGGCGGCUCUCUGGACCGAUACUGACGCUGAGGCGCGAAAGCGUGGGGAGCAAACAGG
rnacentral:rRNA from 1 species